AGAGUUUGAUCCUGGCUCAGAACGAACGCUGGCGGCAGGCCUAACACAUGCAAGUCGAGCGCGCCUUCGGGUGAGCGGCGGACGGGUUAGUAACGCGUGGGAACGUGCCCUUCUCUACGGAAUAGCCUCUGGAAACGGAGAGUAAUACCGUAUACGCCCUUUGGGGGAAAGAUUUAUCGGAGAAGGAUCGGCCCGCGUUAGAUUAGGUAGUUGGUGGGGUAAUGGCCUACCAAGCCUACGAUCUAUAGCUGGUUUUAGAGGAUGAUCAGCAACACUGGGACUGAGACACGGCCCAGACUCCUACGGGAGGCAGCAGUGGGGAAUCUUAGACAAUGGGGGCAACCCUGAUCUAGCCAUGCCGCGUGAGUGAUGAAGGCCUUAGGGUCGUAAAGCUCUUUCGCCUGUGAUGAUAAUGACAGUAGCAGGUAAAGAAACCCCGGCUAACUCCGUGCCAGCAGCCGCGGUAAUACGGAGGGGGUUAGCGUUGUUCGGAAUUACUGGGCGUAAAGCGCGCGUAGGCGGAUUAGAAAGUUGGGGGUGAAAUCCCGGGGCUCAACCUCGGAACUGCCUCCAAAACUGCUAGUCUAGAGUUCGAGAGAGGUGAGUGGAAUUCCGAGUGUAGAGGUGAAAUUCGUAGAUAUUCGGAGGAACACCAGUGGCGAAGGCGGCUCACUGGCUCGAUACUGACGCUGAGGUGCGAAAGUGUGGGGAGCAAACAGGAUUAGAUACCCUGGUAGUCCACACCGUAAACGAUGAAUGCCAGUCGUCGGGUAGUAUACUAUUCGGUGACACACCUAACGGAUUAAGCAUUCCGCCUGGGGAGUACGGUCGCAAGAUUAAAACUCAAAGGAAUUGACGG
rnacentral:rRNA from 1 species